GGCACUUUGCUGCUCAACUCCUUGGGCACUCUAGGUGAGCUCUCUAGUGGCUUUCUACAGAGGUACACUAGCAUCAUCCCCCAGGAACCCACAGUCCACAAAGGCCAGGAAAGCACCUCCAACUCCAGCAGGCAUUCCCUGGGAAGCCUCCAGCCAACCUGCCAAAGAAGCAAGUAGACUAGCAAAACAGACAGCAAUUCUAUGGGUGAGCCAUACAGAUUUCCAUGGAAUGUACCAGCUUGGUCUCUGCAAGCUUCAAGGUCUGACAUGAUAUUUAAAUGUCUGUUAUAUUUAAAAGCAUUAGGUGUGUUCUGCUUGGUG